rnacentral:rRNA from 4 species
UCCCAAGGGUAUGGCUGUUCGCCAUUUAAAGUGGUACGCGAGCUGGGUUUAGAACGUCGUGAGACAGUUCGGUCCCUAUCUGCCGUGGGCGCUGGAGAACUGAGGGGGGCUGCUCCUAGUACGAGAGGACCGGAGUGGACGCAUCACUGGUGUUCGGGUUGUCAUGCCAAUGGCACUGCCCGGUAGCUAAAUGCGGAAGAGAUAAGUGCUGAAAGCAUCUAAGCACGAAACUUGCCCCGAGAUGAGUUCUCCCUGAGACUUUAGGUCUCCUGAAGGAACGUUGAAGACGACGACGUUGAUAGGCCGGGUGUGUAAGCGCAGCGAUGCGUUGAGCUAACCGGUACUAAUGAACCGUGAGGCUUAACCUU